rnacentral:lncRNA from 1 species
CAAUUUACGAGCCUGAAUAUAAGAUAUAAUCCUAUUAGGUCCCGAAUAAAGUGUACCCUUCCAAGCUAUCCUUGGCACACCUGACAAAGCUAAAGUCACAGUCUUAGCAAAAUAAUCUAAGACAAUAUGAUAAGGAGCCAACCAGUCCAUACUCAAAAUAACCAUCAAAAUCAACCAUAUCUAACACAAGCAAGUCUACCAAAGUCUCAUUCCCAACAAAAGUCACAACAUAAUAUCGGUACACUCGAUCCACCAUUAAAGAAUCACCUACCGGAGUAAAUAUACGAAUUGGCAUGGCAAAAGACUCACUAACAGAAUCAAAACCCAAAGAAAAAUAUAGUGAUAGAUAGGAAAAAGUCCAUUUGGGAUCAAAUAAUAUAGGUGCACACCUGAAACAAAUAAGGAAGGUACCUGUAAUCACAACAUCAGAAACCUCUGCCUCAGGUCUAGCUGGUAUGGGAUAACACUAUCCAUGACUACCAACUGGUUGAGUAGCCCCACGAUCACCAACAUGGUCUCUGCCAUCUCUACCUCUUGCACCUUGGGUAGAACUCCUACCUCUCACAGCUGAAAUAGGAGUAACUCAAAUCACCUAGUAGGGAUAGUCCUUGGCCAUAUGGCCAAUCUCAUCACAUACAUAGCAACCUCUAUGACCAGUCUAAAUAAGAGAAAGUACAAUUGAGACCGAAUGGCCACCCUAAACUGCUGAACUAGAAGAUCCACCACCUGAACUUUAUAAAGUCACCUACACUGGUCUACCAUGGUUUCCAUAAGAACCUCUAAAAUCUCUGCCUCAAGAGGUCUGACUCCUAAGCUCAACAAAACAUCACGUCUUCUUGGCGCCUCCCUGAGAUGCAUAAAGAAUACCCUCUGUAAUCUUAGUAUGAUCCAUAAUACUCUUAAAAGAAGCCCCAAACACAACCAUCUGAGAUGUAACCAACUAAAGAGAGACAUCCAAACCCUUUACAAACUUCUGUAUCUUCUCAAACUCGGUGGAAAUACUAUCAUAAAAAUAUCUGCAAAAGGCAUGGAAGCGUACCUCAUACUAAAAAACUUUCAUGGAGCCCUUCUCUAAAUGAUCAAACUAGUCCCAAUACGGUCUCUCAAACUGAAAGGCACUAAUCUCUUUUGGAAAGCCUCGGUGAACUGAUCCUAAGCCAUCUCGGGAGAAUCACAGGGUCUACAACUAACAAGCGGCCUCCACUAAUCUCUCACUGUAUCUCUCAACUGAUUAGAGGUAUAAGAAACUCUAUUUGUAUAGAAAGAGUAAAACACAACUCAAAAUACAAGGUAUGAAAGAACUUUGUAUGAUAAAGAAUGAUAUGAGGGAAGUUUCCUAAUAAUGUCCUAUAGCUUCUCGAAGAUAGAUAUGAACGUCUAUGUACUGAUCCACGAGACUCUAUUAGACAUCUCAUUCUAACACUGUUGAGACCAAUGAAACCUGGCUGCUCUGAUACCAAUUUGUCAUGACCCAAAAAAGAGGGUCAUGAUGGCACUUAUCAUGGUGUACCUUGACAAGUAAGUCUAUCACCCAAACUAAUAUGAAAAGAGAAAAAGACAAGAAAUAUCCCAAGGUAAGGCUUCUAAAGUGAAGCUGAACUAUGUAUAUAAUAAUAACAAUACAGAAAGAACUUAUCCAAAAUACCAAUCAUGCCCAAAACCAGGUGUCAAUGCUGUAAGAACUACUAAUACAAUCCAAGAGUCAAAUACAUCAAAAAAAUAACCCAAAGGAAUAAUAACUGUCUCCGAAGACUAAUUAGGACAUAACUACUAUGGAAAGAUAGAGGUGAAUUUUGGAUGCAUAAAUGUCCAACUGCUACCUUAGAAGCUCAAACAAUCGCUCAAGUCAAUUAAGCUGAGGCACACUCGAGCUAGGACCUGCACUGAAAGGGCAUAGUAGGCAUGAGUACGGUCCACUUGUACUCAGUAGGUAUCAUAGGCCGACCAAGCAAAUUAGUAAAUAGAGCAUACAAAAUAUGCACUAAGGGCAUGUCAUCUGUAAUAAAAAAAUAUCCUACGAUGGUAGCCCACACCGCUUGCACUAACAGUUCUAAUAUAUCUCACAUUUAUUGUAACAUCAUACCAAGAUAGAACAGAAGUAUGUAUUAUAUCAUAUAUAAGAAGAACAAGGGAGGCACAUGCAUAUACAAGAUCAUAAAAUACAAGUCAAAUAAGAUACGAUAACUAUAUAGGAGACAAGUCAAUAUGCCAAUACAACACAACAUAACACAAUAAAGUAAGUGCAAUGUAUAUGAUGAUGAUGAUAAUGAUAAUGAUGAUGAUGUACGAGGUCAUCGCACAAUCUCUAGGAUCAUCGCACAAUCCUCGUAUACAGCUACGAAGCUAAAGCUUUCUGAUGUAUGACCCAUGGGGGGUUUGUCAACCCGUAUACAAUCCACAUAUCUCGUAUCUCUUUUUUGGAAUAUCCCUUGGAAAGGGUUUUAUAAGGUGUUACAAUAUCUCUUAAAAACAUAUUGCUAGUGUUUUUCAAAUAUUGCCACGGUGGUACCAAUGUUUCAUGAAUGAGUAUGAUAUGAUUAAUUCUCACAACCAAUCACAAUGAGUAUUUCCACAAGAAACCACAUGAUAUAUUUCCACAACCAACUACAAUGAUACAUUUUCACAGCUCAUUAUUUUUGUAUCAUCCAUGAAUUUUUACAUGUCUCAUUUGCCAAUAAAGUAUGAACAUAAUCACAAUACACCAACGGUACUACAUUAGCAUUUUAAAAACACAAUAUGAUUAUUCAUAUGUAUUCAAGGCUAUCAAUAGCACAUAGUGUAAGACCCCGCAAAAUCCUAAUCUUAACUCAGACCCUUAAAGCUUGUAAAGGGAUUCCAGACUUAGAAAAGUUCUAGCGAAGUAUUCAGACUUAGUAUUGUUUUGGCCUUCGUAAGUUAGCAACUCUAUUUCAAGACUCUUAUGACCUUAAAGUAUAAAUUUUUAGAUUGAUUCAUGAUCAGGAAUGUCAGUAGGUGUUUUCAGACAAGUUUUGGAUUUUUCAGACCUCGUCUAUACCAUGUUCAAGUGACCAAAAUAUGAGUCAAUGUGAUCUCGACGCAUUUCAUCUUCCAUUGCAUCGACAGAUAAUUUUUUCCUCAUCUUAGUGCAAAUUUUAGUGAAUCGAUGCAGACUCGAUGUAGCACGUUGGCCAUCGCAUCGAUGCCAACGAUGUGGCACGUUAGUCUGUGCGGCAACAGUCUAGUUUUUAGUCAUUAAAAAAGCCUAUCCUUAAGGAUAUUUGGGUUUUUUCCCACCCAUAUUAAUCCCUAAAACACGAGAUUCAACCCUCAUUAAGAAAAUACACUCACUUUUUCUCAAAUUGCUCAAGAAUAAAAACCCUAGGUGAUUUAAUUUCAAAGCCAUGGCUCAAGAUUUCACCAUUAUUCUUCAAGAAUUUAGCAACCAAGGUAUGUGAAGUGUUCAUCCAAGAGUUUCUUCCACCCUUGGAGUCCAAAAAACUCUUUUAAACUUCAAGUAGAGUGAUUUCAUGAUUUCCAUGAUUUGGAAUUUAAGUGUAUUUAUGAGUAUUAUUUUAAUUGGGUUUUCUAUUUCAUGAUUUAUUACAAGAUUGAUGUAGAAUUAAUUGAUAUGUGUGAUUUAUCAUGUGAAUUCAUGUUGAAACCCAUUGAAUUGUGAAUUUGCAAUUGAAUUAUGAUGCUCACAUGUUGUUUAGUAUUAUGUGCAUAUACUAUGUCGUCCAAGUAUAUGUAAUUGAAUUAUGAUGCUCAUAGUUCGAGGACAUGAUUAUUUUCUCAGUAUUUCAUUUUAUCAGUACAGUUUUUAGUAGUUGGAGUUAGUUAAGGGCUUGUCCCAUCAACUCCAUGAUUAAUACAGUAGAGGCUUUUUAGACUAAAGUAUUUUCAGACAGAUGUUUCAGUUUUGGUACUACUAUACCGUAUUCAGUUUUAUUUUAGUAUUGAACCUUACGACAAGUUUUCACCUAAUUUCUGCAUAUUUACAAUAUUACUAUUUAGUUAUUGCAGCAGGUAUUAGUUAUGGGUUAGCUUGUAGUCCUUCAGGAUUAUGAGUACAAUGUAGCGUCCGGGGUACAGACUCGGGGCAUUACACAUAAGACCCCACAUGGUCACACAUAUCAUAUAAUAUCUCAAUUUCGACAAUUACACCAUAUUUAAGCCCCCACACAGGCACAACACAUAGAUAGCCAUUUUCAUGAUUAGUUUCCACCUUUAAUAUGCAUUUUGUACCAUCAUUUACUAUCAGUCCAAUCUGAAAGAGUUAAGCCAUAACCUAUCUCGAAAGCCGACAUCGGUCCGCUACACUUGAACCUGCAACCUUAAUUUGUAUGAACAAUCCCUAAAUCCACUAAAAACAUCAAAUAUAAAAUCUACUCAUCAAUACAAAACCAACGACACCCAUAUCGACUACUUUUGGUUUGGGGUCAAAACGGACCCUCAAAAUGGAUUUCUGAAAAAGAAAGACAAAAUCAGAACUUUACUUCAAAAAUAUGUUCCCCAUAUUUUUAGAAACCUACAGCUUUAAAACCAAGUUACAUCGAGUAAAAAAUGAGGUUCAAAUUUAAGAAAAAACAUUUUUAAGCUUUACCGGGUAAAAUCUUGAAAAUCCGGGUUCAAAUCAGGAAUCAAUGUUGUUUUGAAGGUUAAAUUGAUGAAAAACUACUAAUUAUAAGAUAAAAAUAUUAUUCAAGUGAAAGGAGUAAAAUUUGAGUUUAAAGUUAUGCCUUAAGAUUUUUGGAGUUUUGAGAAAUUUAUCAAGAAAUUAUUAAGAAAAGGGUUUUCCAACAAGCCUUACGAGGAGCUCUAGGAACUCUGAAUAGUUGUUUGAACAAUGAGUUACAUUUAUGUACCAUUAGUGCCAAUAUUGGCAUGUUGGGAACAAUUAAAGAAAUAACUGAUUAGUCUUUCUGCUGUAGGUAUUAUUUUUUUCUUUCAAAAAAGAAUAAAGAAAGAAUCAUGGUAACCAUUCGAGCUGACGAAAUUAGUAAUAUUAUCCGUGAACGUAUUGAACAAUAUAAUAGAGAAGUAAAGAUUGUAAAUACCGGUACCGUACUUCAAGUAGGCGAUGGCAUUGCUCGUAUUCACGGUCUUGAUGAAGUAAUGGCGGGUGAAUUAGUAGUAGAAUUAGAGUGUACAAUAGGCAUUGCUCUGAAUUUGGAAUCAAAUAAUGUUGGUGUUGUACUAAUGGGCGAUGGUUUGUUGAUAAAGAAAGAAGUUCUGUAAAAUCAACGGGAAG